rnacentral:rRNA from 1 species
AUUGAACGCUGGCGGAAUGCUUUACACAUGCAAGUCGAACGGCAGCACGGGGGCAGCCCUGGUGGCGAGUGGCGAACGGGUGAGUAAUACAUCGGAACGUGCCCGGUCGUGGGGGAUAACGUAGCGAAAGUUACGCUAAUACCGCAUACGAUCUGAGGAUGAAAGCGGGGGACCUUCGGGCCUCGCGCGAUCGGAGCGGCCGAUGUCAGAUUAGGUAGUUGGUGGGGUAAAGGCCUACCAAGCCGACGAUCUGUAGCUGGUCUGAGAGGACGACCAGCCACACUGGGACUGAGACACGGCCCAGACUCCUACGGGAGGCAGCAGUGGGGAAUUUUGGACAAUGGGCGCAAACCUGAUCCAGCCAUUCCGCGUGCAGGACGAAGGCCUUCGGGUUGUAAACUGCUUUUGUACGGAACGAAAAGGCUCUGGCUAAUACCUGGGGCUCAUGACGGUACCGUAAGAAUAAGCACCGGCUAACUACGU